CGGGGCGUGGCGCAGCCUGGCAGCGCGCUUGCCUUGGGCGCAAGAGGUCGGAGGUUCAAAUCCUCUCGCCCCGACCA
rnacentral:tRNA from 1 species